AGCUGUUUUUGGACUACAAUUCCCAUCAUCCCUGACAACUGGUCUUACUAGCUAAGGAUGAUGGGAGUUGUGGUCCCAAAACAGCU